rnacentral:rRNA from 1 species
AUUGAACGCUGGCGGCAGGCCUAACACAUGCAAGUCGAGCGGAUGAAGGGAGCUUGCUCCUGGAUUCAGCGGCGGACGGGUGAGUAAUGCCUAGGAAUCUGCCUGGUAGUGGGGGAUAACGUCCGUAAACGGGCGCUAAUACCGCAUACGUCCUUAGGGAGAAAGUGGGGGAUCUUCGGACCUCACGCUAUCAGAUGAGCCUAGGUCGGAUUAGCUAGUUGGUGGGGUAAAGGCCUACCAAGGCGACGAUCCGUAACUGGUCUGAGAGGAUGAUCAGUCACACUGGAACUGAGACACGGUCCAGACUCCUACGGGAGGCAGCAGUGGGGAAUCUUGGACAAUGGGCGAAAGCCUGAUCCAGCCAUGCCGCGUGUGUGAAGAAGGUCUUCGGAUUGUAAAGCACUUUAAGUUGGGAAGAAGGGAAGUAAGAUAAUAUCUUGCUGUUUUGACGUUACCAACAGAAUAAGCAACGGCUAACUUCGUG